UAGUGGCGAAAGGGGCAGUAAUGUGUGGGUAACGUACCCCGGGGAUGGGAACACAGAGGUAACACUCGUAAAUUCCCAGCGAUUCGGUUGAGAGGCAUCUCUUGGCCGGGAAAUGAGUUUCGCCUCGGGAGCGGCUCACAUCGUAUUAGCUUGUUGGCGGGGUGACGGCCCACCAAGGCAAAGAUGCGUAGCGGGUGUGAGAGCACGACCCGCGCCACUGGCACUGAGACACUGGCCAGACUCCUACGGGAGGCUGCAGUCGAGGAUCUUCGGCAAUGGGCGCAAGCCUGACCGAGCGACGCCGCGUGUGCGAUGAAGGCCUUCGGGUUGUAAAGCACUGUCGAGGGGGAGGAAGCUCCGCAAGGAGUUGACCUAUCCCUGGAGGAAGCACGGGCUAAGUUCGUGCCAGCAGCCGCGGUAAGACGAACCGUGCAAACGUUGUUCGGAAUCACUGGGCUUAAAGGGCGCGUAGGCGGUCGGUCAAGUCUGGGGUGAAAUCUUUCGGCUCAACCGGAAACGUGCCCCGGAUACGGAUCGGCUGGAGGGAGGUAGGGGUCGACGGAACUUCCGGUGGAGCGGUGAAAUGCGUAGAUAUCGGAAGGAACACCGGUGGCGAAAGCGGUCGACUGGACCUUUAC
rnacentral:rRNA from 1 species